rnacentral:lncRNA from 13 species
GUAGGCAUGGUCUACUUUGUUUGCUGUACAGGGUCUUCAUGUUGCUCUACACCCUGAUUUGGUGUAUGUACUCUGGCCUGCUGUUCUCCAAUCUCAAGUGGCUUCUUCAGCCACCUGACCUACUGCCUGAUGGUCAUCUACCACCUGGUUGCUUCCUGUAACCUGGCCUGUGCCACAGUCCUAGUCAGGUGCCACAGCAGGGACCAAAUAAAGACCUGCUCUGGAGGGGACCAAACUAGAGAGCGUGGAAUCGGAGCAGAGCCCUUGGGUCCUUUCCCUCUCCCCUCUCUCCUCUUCAUCUCCCCGAGACUGCAGUGGUUCCUCCACAGCCUGAUGUGUGCCUUCUGCCUCGCUGUGUCCUUCCUCUACUGGAGCCUUGACUACCCCAUGGAGAACCACCCUCUGUCCCCAUUCAACCUCAAAAUGCACAUGGGAAAUUCUGCCCAGGCCCGGCUGGACCUUCUCCUAUCAGCAACGCCCAUCUACCUGGCCCACUACCUCUAUCAGCUCCUCAUUGGCUGCCUUUACAUCCUGUUUGCUGUGGUCUACUGGCUGGCAGGCCAAACCAACCUCAGUGGAAAGCCCUACAUUUACAAGGUACUGGACUUUGGAGGGUGCCCCUUGGUGGCCACUCUGUGUGUGCUUUGCUUUGUUCUGGUCUGCUUUCCCCUCUGUCACUUCCUGGUGUGGAAUGUGCAACUGCUGAGGAGGCAGCUGGCGGGCAGGGUAAGGGGAGAGAGGCUGAGAGGCUUGGUGGUGGGGGGAGGGGACGGCCCGGUGCCGGUCUCCCUCUUGGACCCAUUCUCCUCAGUGUUAACCCCCAGGAGGAGGGGAGAGGUCUGCGGCGAUGGGGCCACUCAGUCCCUACUCUCAUCCACCACCAGUCAUUUCUACAGUGCUGUCACUGUCUACCUCUGAGGUCCAGUCUGAACUAACAUAGAGCUUGAUGCCAUGUUGUUUUACAUGUUCUGCAUAAUGUCAUCCAUCUGUGUUGUCCGGUCCCUGUCAGGCCAAACAAUACGAUGCUUAACAGAUCUUCUCUUCACUUUGUAGUGUGUGGUGUUAUAGUUGCCUGAUCCAAAAGGUAACAUCACAGUGGCCAAACUAUGUUAGACUUUGUAUCACCAGGGGGCAGUAACAGUAUUAGUUGCUUUGAUCGCCGUGUUCAGCCUUGGUCAUUUCACAUAGUAGGAUCAAUAAAUUAGCCAGCUUACAUGAUUAACACUGAAAUUCUAGAGUAGGCUCAAGUUGGGAGUGGGAAUAACAAGUCAUUAAUAACAUGCUGGUUUUAGGGUUGUUGUUUUUUCUGAAUAUUGUACAAGUUUGUUAAAUUGCAUAUUUUAUCGAAACUACAAAACUGUGGAUGGAUCCUACUUGCAGAAUACACAGGCCACUGUUGUCCUGUCCAUCCUCACACAAAGCAAAUAACACAGCUGCACAUGAAGUCUAAAAUAUGAAUGAGGCUUAUGUGAGCAGACUGGUGUGCCAAUAAGAGCAAUGAAGAAAAUAUAUGGUAAUUUGACAUUAAGAAAAUUGUGGGACUUGCUCUACCUGUUUAAAAUAAUAGUUGUGGUCAUUGAAGAAGUUAUUACAGUUUUUACUUAAACAAAACAAACAAAGCAGUUAAAAUAUAGUGAAAGUUAAAUGUAAAAUAAUUGGUCUGUUUACUUUGAUAUACUACUAUAUCAACCUUAUUACUUUGGAUAGAGGGGAAAGUUAGAUCACACAUUUCAUCAGAAAUAACUACACUCGGACUACUACAUUUUUUUAUACUCUCCUACUAAAAUACCACAGUAUAUGACAAUGUAAUAAUAGAGCACAGAAGACAAUGAGGCAUUGUUGAAGUUUUAAACAAGUCAAAUAUUUUAUUUUUUACAACUUAUUUUGAUGACAGAGCGAUCAGUAGGAAGAGGGCCGGAAAGGGGGAACCCCUUCCCUCAGAGCACCUCUGCUUCCAGGGGGGACACUCAAGUUAACUGAGCAUAGCAUAUAAAGGGUCCGUUUUAGUUUUUUUUUUUAAUGUAAUUUUCUCCGUUUCUCCAGUUGUUGUUUUUUUUUUUCAGGUUUUCCCUCAAAAUCACACUAUUAAUAGAAAAACAACAAUACUUAAACUACAUCAGGAGACCACUUUUGAGGUCUGGAAAUGUUUUAUUAAAUGUAGAUUUUUGGGUGUAGUUACCCUUUAAUGCAGCUGAGCACCAGCAAGAGACCAUUGUUAGCGAUGUUUCUGUAGCGCUCAUGUGAUUGCAGAGUUUGCUAAACAAUUGGCCACUGUAUUGAUGCAAAUAAUCAUGAUAUUAUUCUGCUAGGUAGGCAUGGUCUACUUUGUAGUUAACAUUUAAUUGAGGAGGUUUUGAGAAAGCCUUUCCAUCUCUACCAGAAGAAGGUUAUCGUUAGCAUCAUCGCAAACGGCGACAUAAAGUGUAGACAUACAGUACGCGCGCGCACCGCGCACACACACAAGUUCAAUACAUUUAGUAUUGGAAAUUAGUUGCGCUAUGAAGACAGCUCCCUCCAAGGCAUGUGUUGGUAGGCAACCCCCCUGCAAUUACCUGGGCAGUCCUGCUCCCUCGAUGGCUAAAACCAGUGUGAGAAACGUGCUAAUUUAGCAGACACUCUUAUCCAGGGUUAAGUGCCUUGCUCAAGGGGCACAUCAACAGAUUUUUCACCUAGUUGGCUCAGAGAUUCAAAUCGGUCACCUUUCAGUUAGUGGCCCAAUGCUCUUAACCGCUAGGCUACCUGCCGCCUAACAAAAGUUUGUGGUAGUGUUGUUAGACAAAGCAAGGAAAGUGAACUUCAAAACAUGAUGUAGUUUUAUUGGAAUCUGCAGCUGUUGUUGGUAACUAAUGAAUCUGCU